rnacentral:lncRNA from 14 species
CUGUUGUUUCCCAUCCACCUUUCUCGGUGCUUUCACUUGAUAAGGAGCUGUCAACGGGACUGUGGACUUCAAGAACCGAUGCCCAGAUCAGCUGUAACCUGCUGAGAGAUUUCCAGGUGAUGAUCCUGUAUAGGAUGUUCUACAGAAAGGAAAUCUGCUUGGGUUUGGUGCAGGGUCAGAGGUUGCCAAUGAGCUCCUCAACAUACCAGCUGUAUCACAAGGUGAGGUUUCAAGGUGAAACCUUGGGCACUGCAGGUGGUGGCUGGUCCCAGUGAGUACCAAAGCCUCUUCCCAUGGAGCAGCCAGGCAGUGAUGAGAUAACACCAGAGGCGGAUGGGGAGACGGGGAGAAGAUGAGGGAAACCAAUUGUCCCUGUGCCUGACUGGGAGCCAGCACAGGGCGACGUGGCUGAGCUGUGCUGCUGAACCCUUUUUUAACUACAAACAUACAGGUUUUAAGUUAUUUAAUGAAGCAUAAUAAUCAAAUGGUAAUAGCUGUGCAUAGCAAGUCCGGAAAAUAGUGUUAGGAUCAAUGUAUUGUCUACAGGGAACUAAUCUAUCUCUGGGAAAAGCUGGUGAUUUGUUCUUGUUGGUCUAUGAAAUUAGAAAAUAUUGCUGCUUAUGAAGCACAUUUAUAAAACUUGCUCUCUACUUUUAAGGAGUUGGCUUAAGGGCAUUCGCUAUGAUUCCCAUUUAUCAAGAAGUGCACAUGUAGCUGCACAAAACCAACUUCAAUUAAAAACAGAUUUGAGAAGUAAUGUAGUAUGUAGGCUGUAAAGCUUGAGUGGAAGGAAAAUGUACCUGGUCAAAGAAUCAGAUGCAGCUCUUCAAUCCUGG